AUUGAACGCUGGCGGCAUGCCUUACACAUGCAAGUCGAACGGUAACGGGCCUUCGGGUGCCGACGAGUGGCGAACGGGUGAGUAAUACAUCGGAACGUGCCCGAUCGUGGGGGAUAACGAGGCGAAAGCUUUGCUAAUACCGCAUACGAUCUACGGAUGAAAGCAGGGGACCGCAAGGCCUUGCGCGGACGGAGCGGCCGAUGGCAGAUUAGGUAGUUGGUGGGAUAAAAGCUUACCAAGCCGACGAUCUGUAGCUGGUCUGAGAGGAUGAGCAGCCACACUGGGACUGAGACACGGCCCAGACUCCUACGGGAGGCAGCAGUGGGGAAUUUUGGACAAUGGGCGCAAGCCUGAUCCAGCCAUGCCGCGUGCAGGAUGAAGGCCUUCGGGUUGUAAACUGCUUUUGUACGGGACGAAAAGCCUUCUUUUAAUACAGGAGGGUCAUGACGGUACCGUAAGAAUAAGCACCGGCUAACUACGUG
rnacentral:rRNA from 1 species